rnacentral:lncRNA from 1 species
GCCACACUGUAAGAUUUUGAUUCCUAUUUUCAAGAACGAAGUUACCAGUAUCAAGCAUGGCAGCAUGAGUGACCGCGGUAACAGAGUUCUGAGGUCUCCAUAUCUCUUUGCCUUGUGGAUCACUUAGUAUGAACUGGCCAUCAGAGGUAAGUUCAAGUUUGGAUCCUUUAGGAGCCGGGUUAUCUCCAUUUGCAUACCAAACUAAGGUUUUUUCUGGUAUUUUUUCGAACCAGAUAGCAAGCAAGAAGAGACUUUGACUGCCAAGGCGGUAAAACCCAAACGCAAAUUCACCAGAAGGUGAUACACAUCUAGGCGAGUCGUUGGAGGCGGUAAUGUCAAGAUCAGUGCAAUAUUGAGAAAAAACUAAAGAUGGAAGGACAAGAAGAAGCAAGAACCUGGCAGCCAUUGCAGAAGAGCCUUGGUACUACCCUUCAAACCGGAGAAAGUUUGUAGAACAUAUAACAGUAUUCACAUGGGAUUGUGAGAGUGGAAAAAAGUAGCAUGCACAAGGUCAAUGCGGUCGUAUUGGGUGAGCGGUGGAAUUAUUUUCGUGCGUGAAACUUCUUCCUAAUUCAUUUCAAAGGUCAUUGCUGACACGUUUUCCAAGCUUUGAAUCUUUGAAAAACUAGUUAUGACCAACCACAUGUGUGGUUGGCUUGCUGUGAUUGGCUUGUUCCUGAACCACUCUGGUGCGGUGUACCCUUUCGUCCCUCUGAUGGCUGUAAGAGUCUGAGAUUGAUAAAUCAUCAGAAGCUUUGCCAAUCCAAAAUUUUGGGGCUUGAUGUCACAAUGGAUGAUCUGUGUGGUACACUCCUCAUGCAAGUACGUGAUAUCCCAAAUGCCAUCUGGAUUCUUUUUUUCCUGUCAGGCAUUAAACUUCCGAAGAGGAAGCAAACAGCCAAACAGAAGGAGUUGUCUUACCCCUGCCAUUUACACCAGUAGAAAAAAAGAUUUAAAAAAAAAAUUAAUUUCACUUACAAUUACCCCUACUAACUAAAAAAUUCGACCCAAGGGAGGUGAAAAAAAUAAAAAAUAAAAAAAUAAAAAAAAGUAUUUAAUAAAAUUUUAAACCAAUGAAAUUUGACAAUAUUUUAAACCAAUAAAAGAAGUUACAAACAAUGUAAGAGAAAGUAUGAAUAAUAUAAGAGAAGGUAUGAAUAAUGUAAGAAAUUGUAUGAAUAAUGUAAGAUAGGGUAUGACGGAUGGUAUGAACAAUGCAAAAAAUGAUACAAAUAAUGUAAAGCAAGGCAUGAACAAUAUGAGAAAUGGUAUGAAUAAGGAGCCUCUUUUCAUUAUUAUUGUUGAGGACAAAGCAAGGUGUAAAUAAAAAUUGAUGAACAUACUAUAAAUAUGGUGGGGAAAGGAGCGGUGAGUAGACCAUACUGCUUUGAAUUUCAUCACAAAAGUGUUGAGUUUGUAUACAAAUAAAUUUAUGAUACAAAAUAUAAACAUAAAAUAGUUAACAACAUUAAUUAUGUAAUAAAAUUAAUAGGAAGUUGGUUUAUCCUUGUAUUCAUUUCUACAUCUAGUAAUUCUUGUCUAGGUCCUAAAAUCAUAAAGUCUUCUCAAUUUGCAUGCUUAUAUUGAACAUUAACAAGAACUACAAAAUAUAAGUAUUUAAUAAGCAUCACUUUUAAAACAUGACAUGGAUAAAGUAUAUCCAAAAUAAUUACUUUAUACAUUUUUGGUCCAAUGAAACAUCAAAUGAAUGUGAAUCCUCCACAUUUAACAAAAAUGCACAUGAUAUUAGUCAUUCAAUAAAGGAAUUCUUAAAAAAAAAAAAAAUUAAAAAUUAAAAAUUAAAAAAAAAAAAAACUAAAAGAUAGUCAAACCCGUAGAUAAAGAGAGUUGUCCUUGAUUUUCUCCUAUAUUCUGUCCUAUGUAUUGUUUGGAUGCCAACUAAAAAAAUGAAGAAAAAAUAGAUAAUUUAAUGAAAAGUUAUUAAAUAAUUUAAGAAGGAAAAAGAAAAUAAAGGAGAGUUGAAAAAAUGAAUUUUUUAAUGGAUUUCAAAUUUUAUUUUAUUUUUUUUCAUUUUACACAUCUCUUUGUAGUAUAUUCAAUAUUCUAUAUAUAUAUAUAUAUAUAUAUAUAUAUAUAUAUAUAUAUAUAUGAUAUUUAUAAAGAAGAUAAUCAAAUAUCAUUGAAACAUGGGUACCUUUUUUUAACAAAUGCAUCACUAAUUACAUAUAUUUUAAUGAAAAUAUUGACAAUGUUUCGAUAUUUUCUCUCUUUUCCAAAAUCAUAAUAAACAAAUAUAGUUUAAAAUUUUUCUUAUAUAUAUGAACUCCACCCCACUCUUCUCUACUUUCCCUUCAUUCGUUUAUUUGUCUAUGAAAAAUUUGUUUUUUAAAAUUUGUUAGGAAAUAUCUCAAUUUCCUAAUUAAAAUAUAUAAAUUUUUUUAAUAAAAAAAUUAUUAUAUAGAACAUUUUCUAAAUUCAUAUACCAUUGUAAUGAGAUUUUUUAUAGAAUAAACAAGGGGAAUAGAUUAACUAGUGAGCUCUACAUACAAUUUAAUAAUUAAUUAGUUAGCUAAUAUUAUAUUAACUCUAACUCAAAUUAUUUGGCCAUCAGAGUCAUGGGAGCCUAAAAGAAAAGCUAAGAGCAAAGUGGAUGCAUACAACAAAACCAAAACUGUGGUAUUCCCUUCGAGGAUCUCAUGCCCACCAUCUUUACUCUAAAAAGCAUUGAAAUAUACUUUGGAGAUUAGGAGAUCGAGGAUUCAAGCAACUGGUAAAGCAGUUUCCCAUAUGAAGGUUAUAAUUAUAAGCAAGAGAAAAUUUCCAAUGGAAGAAGGAUUGAACUGGAAUUAAGUGUUUGAAGCCGUCAACAUCAUGACAAAGUUGUUGGUAAUUGGUAACUAUGGGACUGAGAGAAAUUAUUUUUUGAAACAUUACAUUAAAUACCAACCUCUUAUUUCGUUAUCAUCAAAAGAUGGCUACAAGAAACCUUGGGCUGACUAGUAGAUGGGUUUAAUUAAAUGGUCCAAACUAAGAUUGAAAUAAGAAUGCAAGCUCCGUGUCCACAACACGCUUUCAUACUGUUGAUAUACGAAACCACCGGGUGGUUUUCUAAGUUUUGAAUCUUCCAAAACCUUGAAAGACUUUUGGUGAAGUUGCCAAAAUUUCUAUAUAGAUAGAGUUCACAGAUGGUUUUGAAUUUUCUAAACACUUAGAAAAUACACUUUUUGCAGCAAGUACUUGCCAAUUUUUCAAUACCUGUAAAGGUCAGAAUACGAGGGAAGCCAUGGGCUGAUGAAUCAUGUUACAUCAACUGGAAGAGAAGAAGACCAUCUAGAUGUUUACCUGCCACCUUGAAAUUUAUAGCCAUUGUGUAGCAACCUUGUUUGUACUAUUAGAACAAGAAAAUGGAACCAUACUAACAAAGAAAACACUAUAUAAGAACAAACAUAUAUAUUCAACUGAAGUUCAUGAUAUAUGGAACUCCCAGGAUUACAAAGAUGAGUAGGUGCGUAUAUACUGUCAUAGGGAUGUGUAGUUUCAGAAGGUUGAACUAAAGGGGAAAGGACAAGGGGGCACAGGAACUUCAACAACUCCUUCAAGCAUCAGUAUGACCAUUCCCAUGGAGGGCCUCAAAGAAGGGUCCUCUUGAAUGCACCAAAUGGCAACCAUCACUACCCUCUCCAGCAUCCCCAUGUACUUUCUUACUUCAUCAUCAUUCUUCACUAGCUUAUCCAAUCUGUGCCCUCUAUAGCAAUCAUAAGCCCAAUCAGUAAGUAUUGCUUCCUCGUCAUUUUCUGGCUGUGAAUGUACGCUCUUCCUGCAACUGAUGAUCUCCAGUAACAUAACCCCAUAACUAUAAACAUCCACUUUCACCGUAAUCGGCUUGCUCCUGAACCAUUCUGGUGCAACGUAUCCUUUGGUCCCUCUGAUGGUUGUAAGGGCCCGAGUUUGAUCUCUCAUCAGAAGCUUUGCUAGUCCGAAGUCUGAAAUCCUAGGUGUAAGGUACUCGUCAAGGAGGAUGUUUUCAGGCUUUAUAUCACAAUGGAUGAUGGGGGUGCUGCACUCUUCAUGUAAAUACAUUAGCCCUUUUGCAAUCCCAAAGGCAAUCUGUAGUCUUUGGCUCCAGUCAGGUGUAGAUAUUCCAAACAACAAGUCUGCUAAAGAUCCAUUGUUCAUGUACUCGUAUACCAGAAGCCGGUGCACCCCCUGAUCACAGUAUCCAAGCAAACUGACUAAAUUCCUAUGGUGGGUCCGCCCAAUCACAGUGACUUCUGUUUUGAAUUCCUUCUCACCUUCCUGUACCACCUUAUCUAACUUCUUGACUGCCACAAAUCUCCCAGCAUCUGAUGCCAAAACCCCUUUAUAUACUGUUCCAAAAGCUCCCCUGCCCAAUUUCUCCUUGAAUCCACAGGUUGCCUCGUCAAGUUCUUUGUAUGAAUAAGUUCUCACACUGGUGGUCGCGAAUAUGCUUGAAACGGACCGGAGAUUCAUCAGUUUCUUGUUGUAGAAGAAGAGAGCAGCCGCAGGAAUUGCUAACAACAAAAAGAGAUUAAACAACACAGAGCUGCCAAGGAGUACUGACCCAACAAGGAUCAAGGUAGACUUGUCUGGGCAUCUCUCUAUAGUAUCAUUUUUAAUCCGUACCUUGAUGAGAGCAGUAGUGUAUUGGAGCACAUUUUGUGUUGGUUCGUGUCUUCCAUUUGAGACAGGAAACUUCUUCUUCCAACACUGAUUGUCAGUGUUAUAGAUAGCAACCACACAGAGGCAAUCAUCUUUGCAAGACUGUUUACACUUCUCCUUGUUGAAUUCAGGUCCCUCCUGAAGUUGAUAAUCAGAUAAUGGCCAGUUGACAUCUUUUAAUUCUCUGAACUCUACUGCAUCCUUGUUUGCUUCCCAUCCAUCAACAGCUGUUUGGCAGCUGGGCAAUUCAAAAUUCGGUUUACAGCCUUGUUUUCUGUCAAGAGGAUCCAAAUGAGAGUACCCAUCUGGGCAUAGACAAUCAGGCAGCCCCCUUCCAUCAAUGGAACAAUAGCUGUUGAACCCACAAAUUCCACUGCCAAGAUUACUUGGGGUCACGGUACAAAUGUUAUCAGGAAUGUUUUUCACAACAGACCAAGAAGUACUGCUGUUGUCACGAUUAUAUAGCCUGAAAACUCCAUCCUGGUCAAGCGUUGCCCGGUAAUAGUAAUCUCCCGUCAAGCUACUUCCGGAGGCGAUGUUAACAGUACCUCCAUUCCUUAGAAGAACAUAGAUGCUACCUGACUCAUCAAAAAUCACCCGUUGGCCAGAAUUGCCGCUAUUUGCAGCAUCAUUGGUGUUGCUUGAAUAAUAAACAUCAUAUGCUUUACCAGAUUCUGGGUCCAAGGUAUUAAGUACGAGAUUGCCUCCAGCUUCCAUUUGAAGCUGGAACCUCCCCUUUGAGUAGCUGCUGUUUGACUGCUGAGAAUACAUGGUGCCACCGAUUUCCAGUGUUUGAGUUGGCAAGAUGGUGUUGGCUGGAUUCUGGAAGCUCUGCCACACUGUAAGAUUUUGAUUCCUAUUUUCAAGAACAAAGUUACCAGUAUCAAGCAUGGCAGCAUGAGUGACCGCGGUAACAGAGUUCUGAGGUCUCCAUAUCUCUUUGCCUUGUGGAUCACUUAGUAUGAACUGGCCAUCAGAGGUAAGUUCAAGUUUGGAUCCUUUAGGAGCCGGGUUAUCUCCAUUUGCAUACCAAACUAAGGUUUUUUCUGGUAUUUUUUCGAACCAGAUAGCAAGCAAGAAGAGACUUUGACUGCCAAGGCGGUAAAACCCAAACGCAAAUUCACCAGAAGGUGAUACACAUCUAGGCGAGUUGUUGGAGGCGGUAAUAUCAAGAUCAGUGCAAUAUUGAGAAAAAACUAAAGACGGAAGGACAAGAAGAAGCAAGAACCUGGCAGCCAUUGCAGAAGAGCCUUGGUACUACCCUUCACACCGGAGAAAGUUUGUAGAACAUAUAACAGUAUUCACAAGGGAUUGUGAGACUGGAAAAAAUAGCAUGCACAAGGUCAAUGCGGUCAAUGCGGUCGUAUUGGGUGAGCGGUGGAAUAAAUUUCCUGUGUGAAACAUCUUCCAAAUUCAUUUUAAAGGUCAUUGCUGACACGUUUUCCAAGCUUUGAAUCUUUGAAAAACUCGUUAUGACCAACCACAUAUAUGUGUGGCUUAUCUUCUUCCACUUCAUAGGGUUUAGGAUAUGGCUUAACCCCAUAUGCAUUAGGUGUUUAAUGUGCAUCUUCCAAGAGUACAUCAUGGGAAAGCUACUACUUCAUUGUCUAAUAUACACAGCCAUUUUUAAGGCCUAAGUCCCCAUUUGUGAUUGAAACGAUCACUUCUCGGUCAGUCAAGAAUUUUGCAUACUUACAAAUCUGAUUUCACUUAUUCAAGGUAUGAAAGGGAUUUUAACGGUCAAUUCUUACAUUGCAGAACUGUUGAAAUGGUCUUAUUACAACCACCAAGAAGCCAAAUUAUGUGUCUAAUCUCAUAGCUAUAGUCCGGGGUUCUACUGACAUGUGAAGUGGUAUCUAUUGAUCCUAAUUGUCCGUUACCAUUUUCUGAGACUUUGAUACAAGACUGAGAUAAUCAUACUGUUUGAUGAACUCAAUUGCAGCUCAACCAGUCUCUGUUAAGAUUUCAAAGCUAUAUAGUUGGUUUUGAAUUUUCAGAGAACUCUCCACACUUAAUGAGAUGUUAGUGACUUAAAAUGAAUGUGUUAAAGAUUACUAUUGGGUAUGCCUAAUGUAAGAGAACAGAAAUUUGAUUACCCAAAUUGCAAUUGUAGGCAGCUAAAUGCUAUUUCAUCAACAUCACAAAGCGGAAAAUUCAGUAUAGAGUUUGAUUUAAAGGUUGCACGCGAAUAAGAACAUUUCAUCAAUAUCACUGCAAAAAAAUCAGAAAAUAAACAAAUAUGAUCAUAAAUAAUCAUGAAAAAUCUAAGAACCUUGAGAUUGAACUUGAGCGCUUCUUUAAACUUAAAGCUAGCAACUAUAUGGAAGAACUUGGAUGCAGAUUGAUGGUGAGUGGUUUUGUAGUUUCAGCAUAUUGAGUUAGAGGGGAAAGGAGAUGGGGGGCAUGGGAACUGCAACAACUCCUUCAAGCAUCUGUAUGACAUUUCUCAUGGAGGGCCUUAGACAAGGGUCCUCUUGAAUGCACCAAAUUGCUACCAUCACUAACCUCUCCAGCCUCGUGUCGCUUCUCGCAUCAUCAUCAUUCUCCACCAGCUUAUCCAAUCUGUGACCUCUAUAGCAAUCAUAAGCCCAAUCAGUGAUGAUGGCUUCCUCCUCAUUUUGUGUUUGGAAAUCAGUGCACUUCCUACAACUAAUGAUCUCCAGUAACAUGACCCCAUAACUGAUGAUGGCUUGCUGUGAUUGGCUUGUUCCUGAACCACUCUGGUGCGAUGUACCCUUUCGUCCCUCAGAUGGCUGUAAGUGUCUGAGAUUGAUAAAUCAUCAGAAGCUUUGCCAAUCCAAAACAUGAAAUCCAAAAUUUUGGGGCUUGAUGUCACAAUGGAUGAUCUGUGCGGUACACUGAUCAUGCAAGUACGUGAAAUCCCAAAUGCCAUCUGGAUUCUUAUUUUCCAGUCGGGCAUUAAACUUCCAAAGAGGAAGCAAACAGCCAAACAGAAGGAGUUGUCUUACCCCUGCCAUUUACACCAGUUGAAAAAAAGAUUUAAAAAAAAAAAUUAAUUUCACUUACAAUUACCCCUACUAACUAAAAAAUUUGAACCAAGGGAGGUGAAAAAAUAAAAAAAAUAAAAAAAUAAAAGAAGUAUUUAAUAAAAUUUUAAACCAAUGAAAAUUGACAGUAUUUUAAAUUCCUUGUAUUGAAUUUUUUUUUCAUUAAAAGGAAAAUAAUUAUAAAAAAAAAUUUACUUAUAUAGAUAUCUUUAAUUUCGGAAUAUUUUUUAUAAUUUUAUUUGUAUUCCUAUAACAUAAGAUUAAAUCUACAAUAUAUGUGUAAAUAUAUAUUUUUCACAUGAUCAUAACAACGGAUUUUUUUUUUAUUCUUAUUAUUUUAUUCUCCAAAACAAUCCAAACACAUGAAUAUAAAAUGAAAUUGAUUUUUUUUCCUUAUUCUCUAAUUGAAGUGGUUUUACUUGAUGCGUUUUUUCUGAAAAUAUUUUUUAAUGUUAAAAAAUGCAUACUAAAUUUUCUUAAAUGUAUAAUUUUUCUCUAUUUUUUUAUUUUUUUUUAUUUUUUAUAUUAGAAGUGUUAUAUUAGACUAGAUUUGACUUGUCUAAUUGCUUGUGUAACCCGGGUCUAAUAUGGUGUUCGGAUUGACAUGCAUGAGGUUUGAAUGGGUUAGAAUUGGAUUUGAGUUUAUAUAUAUAUAUAUAUGGGUCAAAAGUGUGGAAGGUUCAUACAACCAAAAAAAAAAGGAAAAUUCAAUUUCAUAUAGAACUGCUAGAAGGAAGAGAGACAGUUCAAGAUAAGCUCAUGAAAACUCCAAAGGGGCGAGGGGGCACAGGAACUUCAACUACACCAUCUAGCAUUUGUGAAACCUUCCUCAUUGUAGGCCUUCGCCCUGGAUCCUCUUGGAUGCACCAAAAUGCAACCUUCACCAUCGUCUCCACCCUUUUCAUAUCCUUCCUUGCUUCCUCAUCAUCUUCCACCAUCUCCUCCAAUUUCCCUCCCAUGUAGCAUUCGUAAGCCCAAUCCGUUAGCGCCUCUUCUUCUUCGUUAUCCCCAAAUACAACACUGGACUUGCAACAUAUCAUCUCCAGUAACAUACCACCAUAACUGUAAACAUCAACUUUAGCUGUGAUUGAUCCUUUCCUGAACCAUUCCGGCGCAAAGUACCCUAUGGUCCCUCUUAUGCCUGUUCGAGUAAUUCGAGUCUGAUCAGCCAACAAAAGCUUUGCUAGUCCAAAGUCUGAAAUCCUAGGCGUGAAGUGGUCGUCCAGGAGUAUGUUUUGAGGCUUUAUAUCACAAUGGAUGAUCUGGGUGCGGCACUCUUCGUGUAAGUACAUUAGCCCUCUCGCAAUCCCAGAGGCAAUCUGAACUCUUUGGCUCCACUCAGGCCUGGAUAUUCCAAACAGCAAAUUGGCUAAAGAUCCAUUGCUCAUGAAUUCGUAUACCAGAAGCCGGUGCUCUCCCUCAUUGCAGUAGCCGAGCAAACCAACUAAAUUCCUAUGGUGGGUCUGGCCGAUUGCAGCUACUUCUGUUUCGAAUUCCUUCUCGCCUUCUUGAAUCACCUUAUCUAACUUCUUCACCGCAACGGCUCCCCCCGGAUCUGAUGCCAACACUCCUUUAUAAACUGUUCCAAAAGCCCCUCUGCCUAGUUUCUCUUUGAAGCCAUGAGUCGCCACUUCAAGCUCUCUGUAUGAAUAAGUUCUCACAAUGGUUGUCGCAAAUCUGCUUGAAACUGACUUCAGUUUUGUCGGUUUCUUCUGAUGGCAGAAGACAGCAACUCCAAGAAUAGCUGACAGUAAAAAGAGAUUAAAGAAGGCAGAGCUGCCAAAGAUUACUGACCCAACAAGGGUCAGGGUCGACUUAUCUCGGCAUCUUGGUGUAGCAUUAUUUUUGGGUACCUUGAUGAGAGCGGUAGUAUAUUUAAAAGCAAUUUUGCUGUGUCUUCCAUUUGAAAGAGGUAACUUCUUCUUCCAACACAUAUCUCCGCCGUGAAUAGCAACCGCACAGAGGCAAUCAUCUUUGCAAGACUGUUUACACUUCUCCUUGUCAAAGUCAGGUCCCCUCUGAAGUUGAUAAUCCGAUAAUGGCCAGUUAGUCGCUGCUAAUUCUCUGAACUCUACUGCAUCCUUAUUUCCUUCCCAUCCAUCUUUUUGGCAGCUGGGCAAUUCAAAAUUCGGCUUGCACCCUUGUUUUCUGUCCGAAGGAUCUAAGUGAGAGUAUUCAUCUGGGCACAAACACUGAGGGAGCCCUUCUUCAUCAACAAUACAAUAGCUGUUGAAUCCACAAAUACCACUGCCAAGAGAACUUGGGGUUGCAUCACAAAUAUCAUAAGGAGUGUUUUUCAUUACCGACCAAGAGGAAGUAUUGUGGCUGCCCACCUUCUUGUCGCGGUUAUAUAGCCUGAAAACUCCAUCGUGAUCGAGUGUUGCCCUGUAGUAGUGACCCCCACUGGAAGAUGUACUUCCAGACGCGAUGUUAACAGUACCUGUUCCAUUCCUUAGAAGAACAUAGAUGCGACCCGAUUCAUCAAAAAUCAUCCGUUCAACAGAAUCGCCGCUAUUUGGAGCAACAAAGAUACUGUUGCUCCGGUAAUAAGCCUCGUAUGCAGUACCCGAUUCUGGGUCCACGGUAAUAAGUUCAAGACUGCCACCAGGUUGCAAACGGAGCUGGAACCUCCCCUUUGAGUAGUUGCUUUCUGAUUUCUGAGAAUAAAGGGUGCCACCAAGUUCCAGCACUUGAGUUGGCAGGAUGGUGUUGACUGGAUUCUUGAAGCUCUCCCAUACAGUAAGAUUCUGAUUCCUAUCUUCAAGAACGAAGUUACCAGUAUCAAGCAUGGUAGCAUGAGAGACAAUAUUAUCAGCUUUCUGGGGUCUCCAGAUCUCUUCGCCUUUUGGGUCCCUUAGCAUGAACUGGCCAUCUGAGGUAAGUUCAACUUUGGACCCUUUUGGAGCCGGGUUAUCUCCAUUUGCAUACCAAACUAAGGUUUUUUCUGGUAUUUUUUCAAACCAAAUGGCAAGCAAGAAAAGGCUUUGAUUGCCAAGUUGGUGAAAUCCUAAGGCAAAUUCACCAGAAGGCGAUCUCCAUGAGGAAGAGUUAUCAGAGGCAAUAAGGGAUGAACCCAAAC